GGCUCACAGCGAGUCGUGCGGGGCUGCGGGCGGCCGGUGCCUGAGCCCGCGUGAUUUUUUCUGUCCCGCAGCCCCCGCUGCCAGCGCCAGGCGUUCAGUCCCGCAGGGCCGUGCAGAGAGUGGGUGGGGCUGACCAAGAACCUAGUUCCCCCUGAGUCACCUUCGGAAGAAAGAAAGCGUUAAAAUAACUUCCUUAUCCGGACUGUUGUUUGCAGUUUCAAUUCAGGGCAGCGUCCGCUCCCCUGUCCGCUGCUUGCACUGGAGCCCGCCCCCCUGCUUUCCCCUGGCCAGGCCAGCCGGCUCUGCGCCGCCUGGGAGACCUCGGAGACACGAAAGCCGUCUGGAUGGCUUUGCGGGCCCAGCAUCCGCCAGCGCCCCCUCGGCUCCUGCGGGGCGUGAAGGGGCCACACUGCCUGCUGCACCCGCCCUGUGCAGGGGCUGGGGCUGCCCUGUGGGCUCAGCACCUGGCCAGUCUCCAGUGUUUUAACAGCUGUGGAAAGAAUGGACAACAUGAGAGAAGAGAAAGAGAGACUCAUCUUCAGAAGAGGACACAGCUCAGUGCAGUGAGCCCUUGAGAGGUGUCUGGACCAUGGUGCUCCCGAGGUGAGGAAAUAACAACAGCCACCAUUUGGAGAAGGCUUACUAUCUUGUGACACCUGCGCUGAGCCCCUUCCCGAGGCUCCCAGCCCCUGCCAGGAGCCGAGACAAGUUGGUGCUCACGCAUGGCUUCCUGUUGCUACGGAUGAAUGCAUGGACACAGAGGUGCCACGCAGCCGUCAUGUCAGGAGCACUGUGGGCCCCACUGUCCUUAAGGGGUGUUGCCUUGGAUGUGGAGACCAUGGAGGAGGCCGCGUGGGGAUGGAAGCACUGGCCCUCUCAGGAUGGGGACCUGGGCCUCAGCUCCCCCAGAGGGGCCUCUGCCUGGUGAGUGAAUGCCAGGGGCUAUGUCAGCCUGUGUUUCUGGGCUAGAAAUACCAGGCUGUGGGCCUCACUUAACUUUCUCCUCGGGUUCUUUUGGGCUGAUGUUGCUGCUGCAGGCAUUGCCAGCCUUCUUACCCUGUGGCCUCAGCACACUGUAGAACAAUUUUUCCUCCCUUGUGGGUGGGUGGGGCUGGGACUCUGGAAACUUGGGGCCAAGAGUUAGAGAGUCUUCGGCUGGCUCUCCCCCUCCCCAGCAGUGCCACGGAGCCCCCUGGACUGGGUCACCUACUCUGCCUACUUCUGGAGUUUUCUGUGCUAUAUAUCAUUGUCCUCCCAUCCACCCAAUAAAUCAUGAAGUUUCCCCGCUCUUGUGUCUGUUUUGUUUUGUUUUCCAUUUUCCUAGGACUACCUCUGUGUGCCAGCCGGGCUGGGUGUGAAGAACAAGGUCACCGGGGGCAGGUUUUCCAGUGUCACUCUUUGCUCCUGUCACUUGGCACACUUAGGGGUCUGGUCAAGGGACAGGAAAGGGAUGAAGAAUUUAGACUAGGGUCAAGCAAUUUCUGCUGCUUCUGGGGAGCUCAGGUUUAGGAGAGCAGGGAAUUCUUAGAAUUGUUGACUAGGAAUAUUUGGGCAGGACUUUAGAAAAGAGGAGGGUGGUAGAGGUGGACCUAGGGGGUGAAGACUUCGAGGAAGGCAGGAGAAUUCAAGGAGGAGGUGUGGAGCAGGGUAUGGGAUGUGGUGGGCACAUGUCAAGUGUUGGGAUUUCUGUUACUGAAACCCCAGGUAGAUUUGGUCUUUGGGGUUUCUGUUGAGUACCAAUGAAUCACAACAUACUAAGCAUGAAUUUGCAUGACCCCCACUUUAUCCUGUUUUGGGUUGGCCCACACUGAGGAACUCUCUCAGGGCCAUGGUAGGAAGGGAGGAUCUGAUUGGCCAUUCCUUCCGUGGACAGUGAAGUCACCUCGCCUGGGGCUGAGGUAGAAACUCUGGCCCCUUUCAUGAGUUCAGCAUCUUGAUGGCCUUUGCCCUCAGGCAACAUUCUGAGGGGUGGAACGAUCUACUCUGCACUCUUUCCAGCAGAGCACCUGAUUUCUGCCUUGCCCCUCUCCUUAAUUCCUACCCAGGGGCCCCCUUUUGAUACCCCUUUUUAGCUCUUCCAAAGACUCUCCACCUACUCCAGCCCCUCUCUGCACCAGUCACUGGACAUUUGUAAACUCUUUUAACACUGUCCUCAUUGCUAAGCAACUUCUCCUGGGCUGUAGAUAGUAUCUACAUCCCAACCUCCUUCCCCUUUCUGAUUAUUCACUCAUCAUUUUCUUGGUGUCCUGCCCCCAUCCUACAGCCUGGGGGUCCCUGGUGGGUUGGUCUCUGUGAUAUAGAAGGGGACAGCAAUGGAGUGCUGGGGAAGAGGGAAGAGAGAAUAUGACCAUGGGCUGCAGAGGCCUCAUCAUUACCAAGGUUUAACCCAAGGUCAUCAGAAUUCCUCCUAAUAAGCCAGAAGUGUCCAUUUAUGGAGACUUCACUUAAUCCUUUUCGUUUCCGUGGCAACCUAAUGUAGUGACUAAACAUGAAAUGUCAGUGACCUAAGGUGCUGGACGUGCUGUGGCAGCAUCUGACACUAGAGGAUACAGCUCUUCUUGAUCCUUAACUUGCUCACUUUCAAACUGUAAAUGAAUGUCACCCCUUGUCCUCUGCCAUCCUUACCCCACCUGACCCUCAGCCUCCAGCACAGAUUUCUAGUCUCCAGGGGGGACAUGCAGGCCCUCCUCACUGCCCAUGGCCUGCCUGCCUGUCCAUCCUCAUCUAAUCGAUCAUUCUUCAAAAGCAGGGAAGGCCUCAGCCACAUGACUGCUUAAGGUUCCUGCCAGGCUCGCCUUUUCCUGGCCUUUGUCCUUGGAAUGCAUCCUCCCCUGAGGCGCUUGUCUGACUCAGCUUGUGUCACUUCCGUCAGGAAGCCUUCCUUGACUAAACUCCCAUCCAGACUGGAUGCCCAGCCCCUCCUUUCAGUUAGAUCAAGUGUCAAUUCUGUGCAGGCACAAUCCUAGGAACUGGUAAACAAAAAACAGCAAAAGCAAAUUCCUGCCUCUGGUGCUUGCCUUUUAGAGGACAUAGACAUACCAUCAGCCAAGUACUGAAAUGUGUAGCAUGCUAGAGAUGGGCCCAGGAAAAAAUAAUGAAACAGGGCAAGCAGGGAGAAUGGCAUUUAAAACUGAGUAGAUGGAAAACCUUACCUGGGAGGUGAGUAAAGUGAGUGACUCACACCUGGGUGUUCACCACAACCUGUGCAACCUCCAUUGCAGCAUGGACUCGGAGUGGUAGGAAGCUCUCUUCAGGAGACCAG